CGACGUGGGGAACCUACCGUAUGCAGGGGGACAACAGUCAGAAAUGACUGCUAAUACCGCAUAAGCACACAAUGCUGCAUGGCAUGGUGUGAAAAGAUUUAUCGGCAUACGAUGGCCCCGCGUCUGAUUAGCCAGUUGGCAGGGUAACGGCCUACCAAAGCAACGAUCAGUAGCCGGCUUGAGAGAGUGACCGGCCACAUUGGGACUGAGACACGGCCCAGACUCCUACGGGAGGCAGCAG
rnacentral:rRNA from 1 species